rnacentral:rRNA from 1 species
GACGGGCCGGCACAAGCGGUGGAGUAUGUGGUUAAUUCGAUGCAACGCGAAGAACCUUACCUGGUCUUGACAUCCCGGAGACCCUUAGGAAACUAGGGGGUGGCUUCCAUCUGGAAGAAUCUGGAGACAGGUGCUGCAUGGCUGUCGUCAGCUCGUGUCGUGAGAUGUUGGGUUAAGUCCCGCAACGAGCGCAACCCUUGCCUUUAGUUGCCAGCAGUUCGGCUGGGCACUCUAAAGGGACUGCCGGUGUUAAACCGGAGGAAGGUGGGGAUGACGUCAAGUCCUCAUGGCCUUUAUGACCAGGGCUACACACGUACUACAAUGGCCGAUACAAAGGGCAGCGACACUGCGAGGUGAAGCCAAUCCCGUAAAAUCGGUCUCAGUCCGGAUUGGAGUCUGCAACUCGACUCCAUGAAGUUGGAAUCGCUAGUAAUCGUGGAUCAGCAUGCCACGGUGAAUACGUUCCCGGGCCUU